AUUGCACGCUGGCGGAAGGCUUAACACAUGCAAGUCGAACGAGUGGCGGACGGGUGAGUAAUGCUUGGGCAUCUAGCUUAUGGAGGGGGAUGACUAGGGGAAACCGUAGCGAAUACCGCGUACCAUAGGAUGAGCCCAAGUGGGAUUUGGGAGUUGGGGGGGUAAAGGCUCACAAAGCAGACGAUCUCUAGCUGGUCUGAGCGGAUGACCGGCCACACUGGGACUGAGACACGGCCCAGACUCCUACGGGAGGCAGCAGUGGGGAAGAGUGCGCAAUGGGGGCAACCUGACGCAGCAAUGCCGCGUGAAUGAAGAAGGCCUUCGGGUUGUAAAGUUCUUUCGGUAGCGAGGCGUUAACUACAGAAGAAGCUCCGGCUAACUCCGUGCCAGCAGCCGCGGUAAUUC
rnacentral:rRNA from 1 species